rnacentral:lncRNA from 1 species
AUCCUGAGCCAAAACCACUUACUUUCAGAAACAGUGAGAUAGUAUUUGCUAUUUUAACCUGCUAACUUAUGGGGUAAUUUGUUACACAGCAUUAGAUAGCUAAUACUCUAUCUUUCUCACUUAUCUUCUUAUAUACAUCUGCACUUUCAACCAUUUCAAAGUGUUUUUCACAUCUAUUAUCCCACUUCUUCCUAAAUAGAAUAGCUAACAGUUAUAGAAAUCUUACUUUCUACUGGGCACUGUAUUGAGUACUCAACAGGCAAUAUCUGAGUAAACGCCACAGCAACUUUCCGAGGUGGGUAAUUACCUCUGCUUUAUAGGUGAGGACAUUGAGGCACUAGAUGUUAAAUAACUUGCCCAAAAUUACAUUAACACAAAGUGGAGCAAGGAUUCAAACCCUUGUUCCUACCACUGUGCAAAAACAGAACCCCGAGAAGUGAUGGUAUUUGUGUAAGGCCACACAGCUGGCUAGUACUGGAGACAAAACCAGAACUGGGAUCUCCUGACUCCCCAUCCAGAAUUCUGGGAUGACCACCAGUGAUUGUGAACAGAUUCAGAAACCAUUCCCAGUUGCCAGCUGGACAGAGAGACUUGCCCAGAGGUUUGGUGGCGAGAAACCUGCUCAGGUGUCAAAGUCUUACACACCUCUGCUGCUUCAUCUAUACCCCGGGGACAAUAAUCGGACUGGAUGUAGAGUCCUUGUAUUCUGAUGACCUGGAUCAAGUCUUCUUCUCACAUCUCAACAAUAUCAGACAAAACUCACUUCAGCAUGACAGAAAAGAUAGUGAAGAAUAAGGAUACUGUUGGAAGAGAGAAUGCUUAGACUGUUUGAGAGAACAAAGUCUUCGAACUCAAAUUCUCUGGAACUCUUGAAAUGCUCUCCGUGGAAUAAAUUUGACAGGACUCCAAAUGGGAGUUUAGUCAUAAUGUCAGUGGUUCCUUGAGGCGUUUGCAGAAAAUUCAGAUUCCUACGCUUUUCUCUGAUACUGAUUCUGUAGACAGCUCAUGGGCCUGGGAGUCUAUUUUUUGAAGCACCACCAGGUGAUUCUGAUGCAGCUGAUGCAUGCACAAUUGUUUGGGGAUCUCUGCAAAUUACAGAACCACGCAUCUCAUCUAUUAAGAUAGAUCCUUUAAGGACUUCCAGUCCCAUAAUAAUUGAAAUUUAGAAAUGCUUUCAGAAAUUUGCAAUUAUUAGUUGUUCACACUGGACCUUUGUCAUCUACUGCAUUAUCACCAUUGCAGUUAUACUGGAUUAGUAAAAUUUCAUUAGCAACUUGCAUUCCCACUCCCCACAGGCCUUAUAACUAAGACAACGUACCUGGGACCUGAAGACUCGGCCUACUCCACGCUCUCAAAACACAAGUAGAAUCUAAGAAACAAGUAGCAAUCACCGUACCUUAUGUCUGGAUGUGCUGGAAAUACUUCUUGUGCCACGCCCUUGACUUGAGCUCCAAUUCCAAUAGCACGAUCCUUGUACCUCCUCCCAGCACAGGGGUCUUCCUGGUUCCUUUUCAACUUCGUCAGUGAUUUUUUUGUGUUCUGAUCCCAAGGGCUGAAACUCCACCAAUGAGGCAACAAUGGGUCUUUUGAGCUUUGACCUCUGACCUUUGCCUGCUGCAAGAUUUCCCUGAUGGUCCAGCUGUCUUCACUGAUGACCUUCUAUCAUCCAUGGAGGGAACUUUCUUAAUCACCUGCCACACCCCACUGGGUCUGACUAUUCUUUAUGGCCCUCCCCCAACCAAUUCAAAUUACGAUAGAGAUUGUGAUUCUCACAGCCUUGGAAAUCCCCUAACAUAAAGGGUUUUCUGAAAUAAUGUCUCUAGCAUAUUCAAGAUAUAGUAAAUCUCUUUGGUUGUAAUCACUUAAAAAGAAAAAGCACCUCUGAAACAAUUUAAGAAAUAAAAUGAGCUACUAAAAUCAAAACCCUCACAUUUUUAACAUAAUUUUAAUUUUCUGGUUUUUCUGGAGAACUCUUUGUGUUUUAUUCAAGUUUAUGAAUAAUGGAUGACAUUUCUUUUAAGAUGUCUCAUUAUGUUUGCUGCAUACAAAUAUACAGUUUCUUAAAAUGGCCUCCUGUCAAAUACACAUGAUUUCUAUUUGUCUGCUGUUAAUGUAAUUGACUAAACACUAGAUUCUUCUGAUUAUGCUUUCCCUUGUAAACCACUUACUUAAUAGGCAAAAGCAGCUGUGUUUAUGCUUCUGUGAUUUUCGGGUUUCAUUAUGAAGUUUUCAGCAUGUGACUCAAGAGCAGUAGGCAGUCUGAGCACCCUGGCACCAGCUGGCAGGUCUUUACCAAUAAAGGCAAUAUUCCACCCACACUUGUAUAUGUCAUGUAGGAGGACACACAGAUGC